AAAAGCCAAAUAUAAAAAUUAUUCUAAGCUAGAAUUCUUGAACCCUGAACCAGAGAUUCUGGGUUCUUGUCCCUAGCAGAGUUGCCAGAGCUUUCACACCUCCUUUUUCUACCCCCGAAAGGGUAUAAGGAAGUUUUUCUAAUUAAAGUGACAAUAAUUGAAAUAUGGUUAUUUAUUUAAGUUCAGAAUCACCACUUGGGAUAUUUUAUGGUGUCUUAAGUCACCGAUUUAAAAUCUUGCGUCCAGAAAGUUUGACUCUUAUUUAUGGUAUGCGAACAUAGGAAUUCGGGUAUUGUUAACUCGGGAGAAAGUAUUCGACAUUCCCAGGUUCCUUGGUUCUAGCACACUCACUCAACUAUUUUUAUUGGCCUAAUUUCUGAUUAAUUACAUGUUUUAUACCUAUUGUGCAUUUCUAGCUUUUGACCACUUCUAAAAUAUUUAUGAAAAUAUU
rnacentral:lncRNA from 1 species